rnacentral:rRNA from 1 species
GAAGUAAAAGUCGUAACAAGGUUUCCGUAGGUGAACCUGCGGAAGGAUCAUUACCGAAUUGUCAACACGAGUUGUUGCUGGUCCUCAAAACGGGGGCAUGUGCACGCUCUGUUUACACAUCCACUCACACCUGUGCACCCUCUGUAGUUCUGUGGCAUGGGGGACUCUGUCCUCCUGUUGUGGUCCUACGUCUUUACACACACUCUGUAAUAAAGUCUCAUGGAAUGCAUGACGCGUUUAACGCAAUACAAUACAACUUUCAGCAACGGAUCUCUUGGCUCUCGCAUCGAUGAAGAACGCAGCGAAAUGCGAUAAGUAAUGUGAAUUGCAGAAUUCAGUGAAUCAUCGAAUCUUUGAACGCACCUUGCGCCCUUUGGCUAUUCCGAAGGGCAUGCCUGUUUGAGUAUCAUGAACACCUCAACUCUCAUGGUUUGCCGUGAUGAGCUUGGACUUUGGAGGUCUUGCCGGCCUGCGGUCGGCUCCUCUCAAAUGGAUCAGCUUGCCAGUGUUUGGUGGCAUCAUGGGUGUGAUAACUAUCUACGCCUGUGGUUUUCCACCGGAUAACCUUCAGUGAUGGAGGUACGCUGGAGCUCAUAAAUGUCUCUCCUCAGUGAAGACAGCUUUUUGAACGUUUGAUCUCAAAUCAGGUAGGACUACCCGCU